UCUCCUCAGAUUAGCCCCAGUUGGGCUGUCAUGGUCCUGAUAGUAACCCAUUCACAAGACGCUCACUGAUUCAGUUCCUUGCUUGGAACAAAUGGGAAGAGGAACAACGGCUUCCUUCUGGCUCACAUUAGAAGCAGGAAGCCUGCCAAACAAUCAGUGGGACCACUGGACAAUCGAGGUGCUACGGGAGCACUCCAUGAAGACAAGAGAAGCUAAAGGAAUUCUUUGCUAUUGGCCAAGAUGAUCAAGGAUGCAACCCCAGGCUCUGGGUGUCCUUAAGCCUCUGACUGCCAGAAGCUGGGACUGGACAACAGGGUAUGGAUCACUCCAUAAGUGUAAACAAGGCUGUAGUGAUAAAAACCAAUAGUGACCAAAGAUUUAACAUAUAAGCAAAUUAAAAAUUGGCCCAAGCUUAAAGUGCCCAUACUACUAAGGUUAAAAACUGGGACAUUUUGGAGGCAAACACUUGCUACUCAUGGUGGCUGCUGCCUGUUUUGGCUCAACAGUGACACUGCCAUGUGUCUCAGAAUGGAGGGAUUUUUCCAGUCCCAUGGUAUUCUGAAUGAGUUUAUCAUCCUACUCUGAAAAAUGUUUUAGUUAUUGAAAAAUCCCCCCUUUCAUUGAAAUGAAAAGCCAAGGCAUGAAAGAAGUUCCUGGGACACCAGGACAUAACAUGGAAAACCAGGACUGUGGCAGUAAAAUCAAGCCCUAGGGUUACUUUACCCUAGCUGUCCAAUUCAGAUGUACGUUUGGAUCGAGAAACACAACCCCUGCCCCCAACAUGUGGGUGCCUUUCUCUGAAGUUUUGUUCAGUUUGUUAUGGAGAUAAGGCCCAGAUGCUAAAUUCGGAUCCAGAUUCUGAAUCCAACAUCCUCUUCCCAAAGUUAAGGGGUGUUCAUGGGCUCAGUUUUGGAUUGGGUUCAUCUCUGCUUUUGCGUACAUAUACGGUGUGUGCAUGUAAACAGCAGGACCUUGACUGAGCAGCCUCCUUCCCCGGAUUAUUGCUUGCAUAAGGGAAGCUUAUCGGCAUCUAGAGUUGUGUGCAACUGGUCCUUUUAUAUGCUGUUUUUUCCCCAAAUCCACUUAAUUAGAAAGAGCCUCCAAAAUAAAUAAAUAUAUAAACAAUC